GAUGAACGCUGGCGGCGUGCCUAAUACAUGCAAGUCGAGCGAACAGACGAGGAGCUUGCUCCUCUGACGUUAGCGGCGGACGGGUGAGUAACACGUGGAUAACCUACCUAUAAGACUGGGAUAACUUCGGGAAACCGGAGCUAAUACCGGAUAAUAUAUUGAACCGCAUGGUUCAAUAGUGAAAGACGGUUUUGCUGUCACUUAUAGAUGGAUCCGCGCCGCAUUAGCUAGUUGGUAAGGUAACGGCUUACCAAGGCAACGAUGCGUAGCCGACCUGAGAGGGUGAUCGGCCACACUGGAACUGAGACACGGUCCAGACUCCUACGGGAGGCAGCAGUAGGGAAUCUUCCGCGAUGGGCGAAAGCCUGACGGAGCAACGCCGCGUGAGUGAUGAAGGUCUUCGGAUCGUAAAACUCUGUUAUUAGGGAAGAACAAAUGUGUAAGUAACUAUGCACGUCUUGACGGUACCGAAUCAGAAAGCCACGGCUAACUACGUG
rnacentral:rRNA from 1 species